rnacentral:tRNA from 1 species
GAGGGUAUAGCUCAGUGGUAUAGUGCAUGCUUAACAUGCACAAGGUCCUGGGCUCAAUCCCCAGUACCUCCU